UAAGACGUAGGGGGCGAGCGUUGUCCGGAAUUACUGGGCGUAAAGAGCACGUAGGCGGAUAUUUAAGUCAGUUGUGAAAGACCGCGGCUCAACCGCGGGGUUGCAAUUGAAACUGGGUAUCUUGAGGGCAGGAGAGGUCAGUGGAAUUCCUGGUGUAGCGGUGAAAUGCGUAGAAAUCAGGAGGAACACCAGUGGCGAAGGCGGCUGACUGGACUGGCCCUGACGCUGAGGUGCGAAAGCGUGGGUAGCAAACAGGAUUAGAUACCCUGGUAGUCCACGCCGUAAACGAUGGAUACUAGGUGUGGGAGGUAUCGACCCCUUCCGUGUCGCAGCUAACGCAAUAAGUAUCCCGCCUGGGGAGUACGGUCGCAAGGCUGAAACUCAAAGGAAUUGACGGGGGCCCGCACAAGCGGUGGAGCAUGUGGUUUAAUUCGAUGCAACGCGAAGAACCUUACCAGGUCUUGACAUCCAGAGAAUCCUUUGGAAACAAGGGAGUGCCUUUUUAAGGAGCUCUGAGACAGGUGGUGCAUGGUUGUCGUCAGCUCGUGUCGUGAGAUGUUGGGUUAAGUCCCGCAACGAGCGCAACCCUUGCUAUUAGUUGCUAACAGGUGAUGCUGAGCACUCUAAUGGGACUGCCCGUGACAAGCGGGAGGAAGGUGGGGAUGACGUCAAAUCAUCAUGCCCUUUAUGAUCUGGGCUACACACGUGCUACAAUGGGUGGUACAGAGAGCUGCGAAGCCGUGAGGUGGAGCGAAUCUCAAAAAGCCAUUCUCAGUUCGGAUUGCAGUCUGCAACUCGACUGCAUGAAGUCGGAAUCGCUAGUAAUCGCGAAUCAGCACGUCGCGGUGAAUGCGUUCCCGGGCCUUGUACACACCGCCCGUCACACCACGAAAGUCGGCAACACCCGAAGCCGGUGACUCAACCAGAAAUGGAGAGAGCCGUCUAAGGUGGGGUUGGUGAUUGGGGUG
rnacentral:rRNA from 1 species